AGAUGAGUUCUCCCUGAGACCUUGAGUCUCCUGAAGGAACGUUGAAGACGACGACGUUGAUAGGUCGGGUGUGUAAGCGCAGCGAUGCGUUGAGCUAACCGAUACUAAUGAACCGUGAGGCUUAACCUU
rnacentral:rRNA from 1 species